CCUACGGGUGGCAGCAGUGGGGAAUAUUGCACAAUGGGGGAAACCCUGAUGCAGCGACGCCGCGUGAGCGAGGAAGUAUUUCGGUAUGUAAAGCUCUAUCAGCAGGGACGAAAAAAGACGGUACCUGACUAAGAAGCCCCGGCUAACUACGUGCCAGCAGCCGCGGUAAUACGUAGGGGGCAAGCGUUAUCCGGAUUUACUGGGUGUAAAGGGAGCGUAGACGGCAAGGCAAGACAGAAGUGAAAGGGGAGGGUGCAACCCUGUACAUGCUUUUGGAACGGUGGUGCUAGAGUGCAGGAGAGGUAAGUGGAAUUCCUAGUGUAGCGGUGAAAUGCGUAGAUAUUAGGAGGAACACCAGUGGCGAAGGCGGCUUACUGGACUGUAACUGACGUUGAGGCUCGAAAGCGUGGGGAGCAAACAGGAUUAGAUACCCCAGUAGUC
rnacentral:rRNA from 1 species